CAGUGGCAGUGAAGAUGCUGCCGACCUACGGCAAGACGAAAAGACCCCGUGGAGCUUUACUACAACUUGGUAUUGAUUUAGAGUUUUGGCUGCCGAGCUUAGGUGGGAGCCGAUGAAAUCCGCCUUCUGGGGCGGACGGAGGCAACAGUGGAAUACCACCCUGCUGGAGUUUUAAAUCUAACCCUGAACCGUUAAAAGACUGGAAAUUCACAAUUUUCAAUUAUCAAUUUUCAAACAAUUUCCAAUUUACAAUGAUAAAAUUUUCAAACUUUUUAGUCAUUGAUAAAUUGAAGCAUUGAAAAUUCAUUGAAAAUUGAAAAUUAGAAAUUGAAAAUUCCGAUUUUUUACCGGUUCGGGGACAGUGCCUGGUGGGUAGUUUGACUGGGGCGGUCGCCUCAACAUAAUCAACAGUGGAAAUUAUUAUCUCCGCCCAACAACUUCGUUGCGGUAAUAAUUUUAUGAAUAACAGAUGGUUGAUUAGGGGCCGUCUAGCGGCAACGCUGGACUGCAAAGUUAACAAUAUGCUGGAACAUCCGGGCAUAUUGGCGUACUUAUGUUAAGAUAAGUGAAAAUCGCCAAUCGCGGUAAAUGUAAAUUUAUCACCGGACAAUCAGCAGGGAAAUCCUCAACGACUAAAUGUUAACCUUCCGAAUAAAAUCGGAAGAUGAUAUAGUCUGAACUCUAUGGCGACAUAGAGAGUUCCUUAGUAAAAUAGGAACAUCUAAUUAUUGAAUGCAAAUUUAUGUAUUCAAAAGAAAUCGAAGCUCAUAAAAAAACAUUGAGAAUAAGUGAUGCCCAGCGAGAUAUUCUUGUUGGAUUGAUGCUUGGCGAUGGACAUUUGGAAACUCAAAAUAACGGCAAAACAUAUCGCUUAAAAGUCGAGCAAUCGGCAAACAAAGCGGAAUAUGUCCAGUGGCUGUAUAAAAGUUUUGAGAAUUUUGUCCUGAAUAAGCCAAAAAGUAAAGAAAAAAUAAGAAAUGGAGUUGUGACUGAAAAUAUCUGGUUUUCAACCUUGUCUCACGGAAGUUUCAGAUUUUACGCUCAACAGUUUUAUGUUAAUGGCAAGAAAGUUAUUCCUAAAAUAAUUGGGAAACUUUUGACUCCAUUAAGCAUGGCCGUUUGGUUUAUGGAUGAUGGAUCAAUAAAAUCCAAAUUUCAUAGGGCUAAAAUAAUCAACACUCAAUGUUUUGCCAAAAAAGAGGUUUUAUUAUUGAUAAAAAUUUUGAAAGAUAAAUUCAAAAUCAAUGCGAAACUUCGAGAGCAAAAAGAUGGCUAUCAAAUUUAUAUUAUUUCUGAAUCAAUUAAUAAUUUCAGGAAAUUAGUAGAGGAAUAUAUAAUUGACAGCAUGCGAUACAAAUUAGAUUAACACAUUUGCCUAAAUGGCAACGGAGGCGUUUACAAAGGUUGGCUAGGUCCGGAUGGAAAUCGGGCCGAUAGCGCAAACGCACAAGCCAGCUUUACUGAAAGGCACAUAAGCCGAUCAGUCGCGAAAGCGGAAGUUAGUGAACCGACCAUCGCUUGUAGGAGCGUGGAAGAUCAUCAGAUAAAAGUUACCCCGGGGAUAACAGGCUGAUCCCAUCCAAGAGUCCAUAUCGACGAUGGGGUUUGGCACCUCGAUGUCGGCUCAUCACAUCCUGGGGCUGGAGAAGGUCCCAAGGGUUUGGCUGUUCGCCAAUUAAAGUGGUACGCGAGCUGGGUUCAAACCGUUUAGAAACUAACAACUGACAACCUGCAACCCGCAACGAUUUUUGUUGUGAGUUGUGAGUCGUAAGUUAUAAGUUGGUUUUUUAGCUGUUUGAACCCGAGGAUAUUUUAACGACAUCAUUCAUGGCGGCUUUUAACCGUGAUGUUAAAAGAGAAGCUAACUAAUAUCGGUAAAAUCCAUUUAUAAUAUUGGACAAUACCGAGGGAACUCCGAUAUUGUAUCGGAGGCCUCUAGAGACUAAACGUUAGCAAUCCUGAUUCAAGAAAACGAAAAAGGAUUAAGUUAUAGUCCAUACACUUAGCAAUAAGUGAUUAAUAUGCGUGAGACAGGUUGGUCUCUAUCUGCCGUAGGCGUGGUUGCUUGAGAGGACUCUUUUCUAGUACGAGAGGACCGAAAAGAACGAACCUCUGGUGUAUCGGCUGUCCUGCCAAGGGCACUGCCGAGUAGCUAUGUUCGGACGGGAUAACUGCUGAAAGCAUAUAAGCGGGAAGCCCACCUCAAGAUUAGGCAAUAUCACAUUCCUCACUAACGUUCAGAAUGAAUUUUUAAUUUCCAAUUUUUAAUUUUAUAAACAAAUCUUAAUUUUUUAAUGUUUAAAACAUUUGAGAAUUAGAAAAUUAUUUAAAAAUUACAAAAUUAAAAAUUAUAAAAUUUUCCGAGCGGUAGCGAGGAGUGUGGUGGUUUUCCUGGAAGAAUACCAGGUUGAUAGGCUUCAGGUGUAAACCCGGUAACGGGUUCAGCCGAGAAGUACUAAUAAAUCAA
rfam:Candidatus Moranbacteria bacterium RIFCSPHIGHO2_02_FTLL_40_12b rifcsphigho2_02_scaffold_21684, whole genome shotgun sequence.